AGAGUUUGAUCCUGGCUCAGAGCGAACGCUGGCGGCAGGCUUAACACAUGCAAGUCGAGCGGGCGUAGCAAUACGUCAGCGGCAGACGGGUGAGUAACGCGUGGGAACGUACCUUUUGGUUCGGAACAACACAGGGAAACUUGUGCUAAUACCGGAUAAGCCCUUACGGGGAAAGAUUUAUCGCCGAAAGAUCGGCCCGCGUCUGAUUAGCUAGUUGGUGUGGUAACGGCGCACCAAGGCGACGAUCAGUAGCUGGUCUGAGAGGAUGAUCAGCCACAUUGGGACUGAGACACGGCCCAAACUCCUACGGGAGGCAGCAGUGGGGAAUAUUGGACAAUGGGCGCAAGCCUGAUCCAGCCAUGCCGCGUGAGUGAUGAAGGCCCUAGGGUUGUAAAGCUCUUUUGUGCGGGAAGAUAAUGACGGUACCGCAAGAAUAAGCCCCGGCUAACUUCGUGCCAGCAGCCGCGGUAAUACGAAGGGGGCUAGCGUUGCUCGGAAUCACUGGGCGUAGAGGGUGCGUAGGCGGGUCUUUAAGUCAGGGGUGAAAUCCUGGAGCUCAACUCCAGAACUGCCUUUGAUACUGAGGAUCUUGAGUUCGGGAGAGGUGAGUGGAACUGCGAGUGUAGAGGUGAAAUUCGUAGAUAUUCGCAAGAACACCAGUGGCGAACGCGGCUCACUGGCCCGAUACUGACGCUGAGCACGAAAGCGUGGGGAGCAAACAGGAUUAGAUACCCUGGUAGUCC
rnacentral:rRNA from 1 species